AUAUUCAUGAGGUUCGCCUUGACUUUGGCAGAUGAGCUUACACUUUAAUGGCUAUUGCCGUAAUGCUAUAAACGUCUGGUUUUCCAAAUGUGCAUUGGGAUAUGGUAUUUACGCAGGUUAUUUAAAAAAAAAAAAAAUAGUUCUAUGUAUUUGGCCUGGUGAAUACUAUAACCACUGCUGCUGCACAAGAGUAGUGGGAGUUUGAGCACAGGGCUUAUUUCUGCAUGGACAAAAAACAAUUAAUACACCAGCAUAAUUAUGUUAUUUAGCAAAGCUGUAUGCACAAUUGUGUUACCAGGAAAAAGCUUCAAAACAUUAGUGUUAACAUCUUAAAUACCUGAGGUACAUUCAGCACCCAGGGUUCUAAACAAAACUUUGAAUUUUAGACUAAA